rnacentral:rRNA from 1 species
CCUACGGGUGGCAGCAGUGGGGAAUAUUGCACAAUGGGCGAAAGCCUGAUGCAGCAACGCCGCGUGAGCGAUGAAGGCUUUCGGGUCGUAAAGCUCUGUCCUCAAGGAAGAUAAUGAUGGUACUUGAGGAGGAAGCCCCGGCUAACUACGUCCCAGCAGCCGCGGUAAUACGAAGGGGGCUAGCGUAAUCCGGAAUUAGUGGGCGUAAAGGUGGCGGAGGUGGUUUCUAAUGUCAGAGGUGAAAGGCUACGGCUAAACCGUGGUAAGCCUUUGAAACUGGGAAACUUGAGUGCAGGAGAGGAGAGUGGAAUUCCUAGUGUAGCGGUGAAAUGCGUAGAUAUUAGGAGGAACACCAGUUGCGAAGGCGGCUCUCUGGACUGUAACUGACGCUGAGGCACGAAGGCGUGGGGAGCAAACAGGAUUAGAUACCCUAGUAGUC